GGGCUUAUGUUGUUACAUAUUGGGAGGCAUUUCAUACAUCAUUCACGGGAAGUAUGCUGCAGCAACUUAUCUCUCAUCUCCACUGCAUCAUCACCAUCCCUACGAGAGUUCACUGGCCGAUAGUAUCCUGACACCGGAUCUGGAACCCAAGAUUCCUUAGUUGUUGCCGGAGAUGUUUGCUUCUUUGGUAUAUUCUCCUUCAACACCACUUUCUCCUCCAACGAACGCCCGGCCGCUGCAGCUGCUGAAUAUGCCCUCCCGCCAAUUACGAUGCCGGAGAAACGAGCCAAGAAAUUCGCCAU
rnacentral:misc_RNA from 1 species